UUCUUUUACUCACAGUCACCGAGAACCACGGAGAGGUAGAGAUCCGAAGGCACCUCAACUGCAGUCACUGCCCUUUGAGAGACUGCCAAUGGCAGGCAGAGCUCCAGUUGGCUGAAUGCCUGUGCCCAGAAGGCAUGGAGCUAGCUGUGGAUAACGUCACCUGCAUGGGUGGGGCUUGGCCCGGCCCAGUCCUGGCCUUUGCCCCCAGGUGUCACUGAGGUUUCCCCAGCCAAUGUUACUCUGCUCAGAGCCCUGGGCCAUGGUGCCUUUGGGGAGGUGUAUGAGGGACUGGUAAUUGGACUUCCUGGGGACUCCAGUCCCCUGCAGGUGGCUAUCAAGACCCUGCCAGAACUCUGCUCGCCUCAGGAUGAGCUGGAUUUCCUCAUGGAGGCCCUCAUCAUCAGCAAGUUUAGCCAUCAGAACAUUGUGCGGUGUGUGGGGCUCAGCCUCAGGGCCACCCCUCGCCUCAUUCUGCUGGAACUGAUGUCUGGAGGGGACAUGAAGAGUUUCCUGAGGCACAGCCGGCCACACCUGGGCCAGCCAUCACCUCUGGUCAUGCGGGAUCUGCUGCAACUGGCCCAG
rnacentral:sRNA from 1 species